UUUCCGUAGGUGAACCUGCGGAAGGAUCAUUAUUGUAUAACCGAGGUGCGAGGGCUGUCGCUGACCCGAAAGGUCGUGCACGCCCGAGUGCCCUCACACACAUCCAUCUCACCCCUAUGUGCACCACCGCGUGGGUCCACCUUUGGCUUGUUCGGAGGGGGGCUUACGUUUUCACACAAACUUUGUAUGCAGUGUAGAAUGUAUUUUUUGUUUUUGCGAUCACGCAAUCAAUACAACUUUCAACAACGGAUCUCUUGGCUCUC
rnacentral:misc_RNA from 1 species